AACAACCUAUGCCUUCCACCCCUCUCCCAGCGUGCUCGCAGCCAGGCACCUGAGGCAGCUUUCCCACGCUCUGGGCACUCAGCUCUCCUGGUCUCCCGUGGGGACACUGGGCACCAGUUGCCGAUGCUGAGCCAGGGAAGCAACACCGAUCUUGCCUGCACAGGAGCCAACCCAGGGAAGGGCCGGCUCUGGCGCUUCAGCUAUCAAGUAACAGGAGGGACGUAGGACAAGUUCCAGCUGGGGUGGGGAGGAAACAUGCCUGACUCCCCCUGGGGCUGGGGACCCUGAUCCCCAAGCCAGUUCCAGCCAGGAAAGAAAGCUGUACCAAGGCAGAACUCGAGAGAGAAGCGAGAGAAGGGGAGGGGCCAUCAGGAGGAGCACAGCCUCCCGCUCACAGGCAGAGCGCAGCCUACAGCCUCACCAGCCAGGAACCACUGCUGGCCAGCAGCAGGUACUCUCAACAGACUGCAGACAAAUGACACCAAGCCUCACUCGCGCGCCCCACCAGCAAGAGGGCGGUAUGUCAACAGACCCGAAAGGCCAUGGAGGUCACACUCUAGUCCCGGCUCCCUGACAACCACCCACAAACACCAGGCAAACCGCGCGCCUUUCCCGAAGAGGUCUAUGGCUCCUGGCAGAUUACCUCAAAAGCCUUGGCUCCAAAAGUGUCAACAACUACCACUGUGCAAGAAGAAAACGGAGUGGAGAAGAAAAACCUAAUGAAGGCAGAGGGUCAGGGAAAGGGACCAGAGCAAAGCAGCUCUGCGUCUCCCAAGGGCAAGGACCAAUGCCAUCUGAACUACUCUUCAGGAACAAAAAUCAAAGUCCGGUGGGAGGAAGAAACUCCGGUCCCCACAGACAGGGCAAUGUUGGCUGGCCCAGACUAAAUUUUUGUCUAAAUGAAGUAAAAUCAGAGGGUGUGGUGGUUCACACCUAUAAUCCCAGCACUCAGGAAGUAAAUUAGAGGCCUCAAGAAGAGGAGGAGGAGGAGGAAGAGGAAGAGGAGGAGAGCAAAAUAGCAAACUACAGCUCAGCUGGUAUUGCUUGCCUAGCCUGCCUGUGGCCCCGUGUUCCAUCCUCAGCACCGCGUAAGUGCAGUGAGGUACUGUAAUUCCAGCACUUGGGAGGUAAAAGCUAGAGGAUCAAAGAUCUAGAUCGCCCUUGACUACUACUACACAGUUAAGUCUGAGGCCAGCCUGAGCUAUAUGUCUCAGAGUAAAAACAAAAAAAGAAAUAAAAAAGGGAAAGGGUGUAUGGGGGUGAUAUACUUUUCUUAUAAAACUUUUACAAUAAAAGAAAAUAUUAGGCCAGACAUGGUCACACUCCAGUCCCAACACUGGAAAGGUAGAAGCAGGUGGAUGUAUCUCUGUGAGUUUGAGGCUAGCCUGGUCUACAAGGUGAGUUCCAGGACAGUCAGGGCUAUGUAGAGAGACCCUGUCUCAAAAGUAAUGAAGUAUUUAUUGGUAACCAGGCAUGGUGGCACAAAUUUACAAUCUCAGCCCUUAAAAGGCUAAGGCAAGAGGAUUGAUGUAAGUUUGAGGCUAUUCUAGUGUAUAUACAAGUUCCAUGUUAGCCUGAGCUACAUAGCAAGACCCCCCCAAAAAAAAUCAAAGUGGGGUUAAAAAAAGUGAAAGAAAUUUUUUUUAGUUUCUCUGCAGGUAUGACUACGUUAGAUAAGUAUGUGAUAUAAUGGUCAACGGGGACUCCACGCACUGAUUACAUGUGGCCCACUGAGGGUAAACUGUGGAAAAGACUCUGCUGAUUUCUGGGAUACCCAUUUAUCUCCACACAGUCAAACGUUCCUUUUGCUUUGUUUUGUUAUUUGUGUGUGUGUGCGGUGCUGGAGACCACACCCAAGAAGGCCACCUGCAUGUGAGGCAAGCGCCCUACUACUGAGCUACACAGCCAACAGACACACCCUCCCCGAGGCUUUACAAUGAGCAAGAGGAGCCGGGCAGUGGUGGCGCAGGCCUUUAAUCCCAGCACUCGAGAGGCAGAGCCAGGCGGAUCUCUGUGAGUUCAAGGCCAGCCUGGUCUACAGAGCGAGUUCCAGGACAGCCUCCAAAGCUACACAGAGAAACCCUGUCUCGGAAAACAAAAACAAAAACAAACAAAAAAAAAGAUGGGCAAGAAGAAAAGCAGUGAGCGGCCCUGUGGUCAAGCUUUUGGCAAAUGUUAGGUUCUGCUCUAGACACUCUACAUGCCUCUCUCCUCCACGCCCACGAGGGACUAUGACUGACCCCACUCUACAGGGUUAGGAAACAGGCUCAAACCAGCAAGUGCAGAGACCAAGAAUACUGUCUAAAGUGCUCACCCUGGACUUUUCUGUCUUUCAAAUCCCAUGCUGGUCGGGGCUGGAGAGACAACUCAGUGGUUAAGAGCACUGGCUGCUCUUUGAGAGGACCCAGGUUCAAUUCCCAGCACCCACAUGGCAGCUCACAACUGUC